rnacentral:rRNA from 1 species
GAUGAACGCUAGCGGCAGGCUUAACACAUGCAAGUCGAGGGGCAGCAUACCCGGCAACGGGUGAUGGCGACCGGCGUAAGGGUGAGUAACGCGUGAGCAACAUACCCGUAUCAGUGGGAUAAUACAGGGAAACUUGUUCUAAUAUCACAUAAUAUUAUUCAGAGGCAUCUUUGGAUAAUUAAAGUUCAGGCGGAUACGGAAUGGCUCGCGUGACAUUAGCUAGAUGGUAGGGUAAAGGCCUACCAUGGCUAUGAUGUCUAGGGGUUCUGAGAGGGAGGUCCCCCACACUGGAACUGAGACACGGUCCAGACUCCUACGGGAGGCAGCAGUGAGGAAUAUUGGACAAUGGAUGAAAAAUCUGAUCCAGCCAUGCCGCGUGCAGGAAGGCGGCCCUAUGGGUUGUAAACUGCUUUUGUACGGGAGCAAUAAGGUCUACGAGUAGAUUGAUGAGAGUACUGUACGAAUAAGCAUCGGCUAACUCCGUG